rnacentral:rRNA from 1 species
AUUGAACGCUGGCGGCAUGCCUUACACAUGCAAGUCGAACGGUAACAGGUUAAGCUGACGAGUGGCGAACGGGUGAGUAAUGUAUCGGAACGUGCCCAGCCGUGGGGGAUAACUGCUCGAAAGAGCAGCUAAUACCGCAUACGACCUGAGGGUGAAAACGGGGGAUCGCAAGACCUCGCGCGAUUGGACCGGCCGAUAUCAGAUUAGGUAGUUGGUGGGGUAAAGGCCCACCAAGCCGACGAUCUGUAGCUGGUCUGAGAGGACGACCAGCCACACUGGGACUGAGACACGGCCCAGACUCCUACGGGAGGCAGCAGUGGGGAAUUUUGGACAAUGGGCGCAAGCCUGAUCCAGCCAUGCCGCGUGCGGGAAGAAGGCCUUCGGGUUGUAAACCGCUUUUGUCAGGGAAGAAAAGGUUCUGGCUAAUACCUGGGACUCAUGACGGUACCUGAAGAAUAAGCACCGGCUAACUACGUGCCAGCAGCCGCAGUAACAC